AAUUAACAUCGUCUGUUUUAUGAGGUGAAUAUGUCUGCCAGACGAUGGUGAUCAUAUGAUAUUUAGCAUAUUUGGCAACACUUGACUUUGAAAUCAACUACUUUUUCUGGCAACUCUGUAUCAUGUUUAUUUAGAAUUGAACUGUCAAAACCUGCAAAGCAACUUUACAGCUGCUUCAAAAUUAAUCGUCUGUUGGAAAUCGGAAGUAUCGGUGUCUACUCGAGUCGUUCCGAGUUUCCGCGUUUUUAUGCAUUUAUAUGGAACUGAGCUCUGCUACGCCCCGUGCUGCUACAACAGUCAUACAUAAUUGGUGUGGACAGUUUUUCUCGUCGCGAGUUUUGGUGAAGUCACAUCCGAUGCGAUGUGUUUAUAAUGUAAAAUUUGAUAUCGGGAGAGCGAUUCGGAAUUGGGUCGCUAAACGCUGGUGGCCGCUAAACGUUACCGUAUUUUUCUUUUCGUUUCUCUUGUUUUGAGUGUGCAAAAUUACGUGUCGAACAAUCGCAGCCUGUGUCCCUGCACUGGGGCACUCUAGAGUUUGUUUUUGUGAUUGUAAAAGAGUGAAUAGUGCUCCGAAAAAGAACAACAUCAGUAGCAGCAAAAGUGAGAAAAUAACCACCAGCUCCUCCGCCUCGUCACCAUCAACAGUGAUAAUAAUGACCAACAACAAGAACCCCAAGAGAAGGGCUCGAAGCUGAAGCGGGCAUUUUCGAUGUCGCGGAUUGGCAAGAAAUCGGUGGUGGAAAAAUCCGCAACUGGAAUGUCAGCAGUAAUGACAAUGAUGACAAGUACAACCGGGAAGUCAUGACCUCAAAGCAGAAAUCCAUCAACUCACUGAUGCCAUGAUCUCGGUUAGGAGGAAAUUCUGAGUAACUUGCUUAUCCGAUAUAUCUACUGACAACUUAAUCUAUGUUUUGGGAUCAUUGCAUUAAAUAGAGAUUAAAAUGAGAUAUAUCUAUACGGGGAUCGGAAUGUGUUGCUGCAAGGCGUUCAACAGGCACAGAUCCUGUUCAACAUGGUCGUAUACGAUGAGCUGCCCCUGAAGACGGAAGAGCGGGUGGAUGAAACGAAGAUUCCAAUGGUGCUAGAUCGGUAGAUGCAGCAAUCGGUUCUGUCCGUGUAUGGAAUUUCCGACAAAAGGAGGAAUCGCCUUACUCUUUGUAAACUGGUGACUCACGGCAAACGCUUCGUCGGCCAAGGGAUCACUUCCAAUAGAAAGAUUAUUUCCAACAUGCACGUAAUCAAGGAGCCGGAUUGCAAUUCUCGUUACGAUUGGAUAGUUUUAUCAUCUCAUCAACCCCUGUCAAAUUGCUCGAUAAUUCCAUCUAUCGUCAAGAUCAAUCGUUUCCGGAAAUGUUCUCCAUCAAGGAAACCAUCACAAUACGCACCACUAGAUUAUACGAGUGGCAAAAUGGGUACCCCAUCAGCUGGCAGUUUGAAUUCACCUCAUCCACACGGUUUUGUUGCACUGCGCUCCAGAUUCGGUUGCCAACAUGUUCGAGACUUCGAUGACUGACGACCAGCAGGAAGCACGGCAGCAGUAUGGAGACGACGUUAAAGAUCUUCCGGCUUCAAUUACUGUACAGGCGGUGCAUACCGACAGCAACUAAGGAACAAAGAGGGAAAGAGUCGCACCCACGAAAGGUUCUCAACAUGAUAUGGAGUGAGGCACACGUACCUACCUGGGAACCUGGUCGACACACCUCUAUGCAUGGCGUAUUGUAGAUUUCUAUAAUCAUCUUGGGCAAUGUUUCUCUAGUGUCCCUAAACGUCUCAAAAUCCGUUUCCACCUGAUGCAGCCAGCCAGCGUGUUCGUGACCAAAGCCCAGGAGCAUAUGCGACCGUUUGAUGAUAGUGCCGUUCCACUAAACGCUAGAUCUUGUAAUCGCUCUCUAUGGUAGAACAAAGUGCAUCACCUUGCUUCAAUCCAUCUUUUACACUGCGUCUGCAACCUGAAUACUUCUCGCAUAACUUUUAAAAAGGACCUAAGUAACAUUUUUUCCAUGAAUUAAUUUGAGUACUGCAAUCAAACGCUUUCAUAUUAGCCUGUCAAAUGCAAUAUUCAAAUUAAUUCAUGAACAAAAAUGUUACUUAGGUCCUUUUGAAAAGUUAUGCGAGACUUGAUUUUGAGAGAUUUUGAGCGACCACAUAUUGCACGUAUCAGCCUAAUCAGUUUCACAAACGGAAGCACACAUAUGCUGUCCCUAUUCACAUAAGACCAUGGGACAUGCAUAUCAGUUUUUUUUCAGCUUGAGUGAUUUGCCGUUGAUUUUUCGAACCCGUUUUGCUUGGAGAAACACUAAACAUAUAUUUACUUUUACAUUAUGUUAAAAAAAGAGAAAAAUACAAGUUUAUUCUUUACCACAAACUACAAA